AUUAGCUAUUUGUAAACACAGUUAUGGAACUGUAGUUAGUAUUAAAUAGAAACUGAUUUUUUAAGUAUGUAAUUUUGCUGUGAUACAACACAAUGGGUUUAUAUAUAAGCCUCAGAUGACCUCACUUGUUUAUGAAAAUGAUGUAGCAUCCAUAAUAUCUUUCUAAUGAAAUACUUUCAGCUGAACUUAUCAGAUGCACUUUAAAAGCAUGUAUGUAUAGUCCAUAUAGUCGGUAAACUCAAAACUUAUUCCUAUGAUACAUAAAAUAAAACAUAUUUCAGAUUAUGGGCCCUAAACUUCUUACGGUGAAAUUUGAGUAUUGUAAAAAAUGCACACACUUCUGAUAGGAAAAUUUGUCUUUAUUUCUCCCUUUGACCUAACUUUCAAAAUAUGUAGCUAUACCUGAAGUGUAAAGGUUACGCUUAUUCCAGGGUUCUUACAUUCAGGAAAUUUAUAAAGUUUUAAAAGCACUAGAUAUUGGCAGGAUUAUGUCACCAUAGCAACCCGUAUCCAUGAAUAAACUCUAAAUAUCUAACCCAAAAGACAAUGAUUAGGUCACUGCUAUGAGAUGCAAAACAAAGCCAAAAUUAUUGAUACAGAAUUCCAGAAAGUAGGCGUUGGUUAUAGAUACAUAUUUUAUCCUUCUUAUUAAGAACUUGAAUUGCUUCAAUCAAUUAAAUCAAAUGAUUUGUUAAUCAUUUUAACAAACGCUUACUAAUAUUGUUUGGCUAUGUCCCCACCCAAACCUAAUCUUGAAUUGUAAUUUCCAUAAUCCACAUGUGUGGUGGCAAGGACCUGGUGGGAGGAAUUGAAUCAUAGGGAUGGUUUCCCCCAUGCUUUCUCAUGAUAGUGAGUAAGUUCUCAUGGGAUCUGAUGGUUUUCUAAGAACCUUUCCCCUUCGCUCAGCACUCAUUUCUUUCUCUUGCCACUAGUUGAAGAAGGACAUGUUUGCUUCCCUUUCUGCCGAGAUUAUAAGUUUCCUGAGGCCUCCCCAGCCAAGUGGAACUGUGAUGUGGAUGAGCUACAGGAGAAGCUGGCAGCUUUCCCCACAGUGCUGGACACACACAGGCUCAGGACUCAGAAGGGAAGAAAGGUCCCAUGGGGGUGAAAGUGCUGCAGGCCUGGGUGAAGUCCACAGAAACAAGGUCAGUGGGCGGGAUGUCUGUGAGCUGUUCUAGGGUACAACCCUCUACACUGAACCUCAAUGAGUAAAACCAACAUUGUUUGACAAGCAGAGCCCCAGGCAAAAAUGUUGCUAGUGGAUUACCAGAAGUAAUAGAGAGAAGGACCACUCUUUGUUUCAACCCCUUAAUACUAGGUCCACAGACUGUGGCUAUGGGGGAAACACUGUACCGCUGUUGCUGACUUAGAACGUGCUCUAUCUCCUGGACAGCAUUAUUCCAGGCUCACAAAAUGUUUCCACUAGCUAGUGUGGUAACCAAGUCUUUAGAAUUCCAUUCCACUAAUAUAUCAGGCCAGUGACAUCAAGGUGAUUGAUCGGAAACAUAAGACCAAUGAAAAUUUCAUUUGCCAAAAAAUUAGGUCCUUGGUCAGAAGCAAUGCUAUGUGGAAUAUCAAGAUAAAGGCAUUCUGUAAUUUCAUGGAUGAAAGUUUUAGCAGAGCCGUAUGGCUAGAAGAGGAGGAAAAUCCACAUUCAGAGAAAGUAUCUAUGUUAGUGAAAGCAAAGAUUUGCCCCUUUGUUGGGGUCCGGCACGUCUCCUGGGCGGCUACCGACCUGUGGGAGUCCCCGAGACCACCGACAUAGAUGUCUUGUUCAACCUGAGGGAGAGAGUGCACGGAAGUGAAAGAAAAUAGUAAAGCGGAGUCUGGAGGUCUGCGUAUCUUAUGGUCAAAACGCAGCAAAUUUAUUCUUGUGGGUUACAGCUUUUAUACCUUUUUUCUUGUUACAUUUACUUUAUCUCAGCAGAAAAAAGGGGUAAACAGAAAGGAAAUAGAAACUCCGUAAAAAUAGUUAUCAGGGGCUUGUGAUAACCGCUCACAAAGCAAUUUAAGGGGGCUUGUGAUAAUAGUUUACAAAGCAGUUUGUUUUUCAAAGAUACACAGUGCAAACAAACAAUGGCGCCUUUCAGGUGGCUUGUUAAUCCUGUUUUCCAUCAGGAGUUAGAUCAAAGGCUUAGCUCCAGGGAAAAUAUGGGCAGGGGUCUCUUGUCCCUCUUA
rnacentral:lncRNA from 13 species